GGGGUAUAGCUCAGUGGUAGAGCGCCGUCCUUGCAAGGCGGACGUCACGGGUUCAAGUCCGCUUACCUCCA
rnacentral:tRNA from 1 species